GGAGUUUGAUCCUGGCUCAGAAUGAACGCUAGUGGUUUGUUUUAAGACAUGCAAGUUGAACGAAUCGUAAUUAUUGCGAUUCGUAGCAAACGGGUGAGUAACGCAUAAGAAUUUACCCAAUUGUUUAGGUAAAUCCUAAAUAAUAUUAAAAAAGAUUAAUCGCAAUUGGAUAAGCUUAUGUAGGAUUAAAUUGUUGGUCGGAAAAAAGCCUACCAAGUUCGUGAUCCUUAGCUGAUCUGCGAGGAUGAUCAGCCACAUUGGGACUGAGACAAGGCCCAAACUCCAUGAGGAGGCAGCAGUCGAGAAUAUUAGGCAAUGGGCGAAAGCCUGACCUAGCAAAACCACGUGUGUGAUGAAGGCCUUUUGGUUGUAAAACACUUUCGUUAGAGAUAAUAAUGAUAGUAUCUAAAGAAGAAGUCCUGGCAAAUUCCGUGCCAGCAGCCGCGGUAAUACGGGAAGGGCAAGCGUUAUUCAAAAUUACUGGGUGUAAAGGGUGCGUAGAUGGAUUAAAAUUACUAUAAUGUAAAGAAUAAUGCUUAACAUUAUAUAAAUGUUUUAGUAUUUUUGAUCUUGAGUUUAAAAGACGAUUACAGAAUUUUAGGUGUAGCAAUAAAAUGUUUAAAUAUCUAAAGGAAGAUCACUCGUGAAGACGGUAAUCGAAUUUAUGACUGACAUUGAGGCACGAAAGCAUGGGGAGCAAAAAGGAUUAGAGACCCUUGUAGUCCAUGCUGUAAACGAUGAAUGUUAAGAUCUGGUAUUAGUAGUUGCUAUGUUUAAGUGUGUAGAGUUUUGUUAAUUACUCUACUAUUUAAACUUGUAAUGAGCUAGCUUAUGUAGUAUAAGUUUUAUCAGAACUGAAGCUAACGCGUUAAACAUUCCACCUGGGAAGUACUAUCGCAAGGUAGAAACUCAAAGGAAUUGACGGGAACUUGCACAAGCGGUGGAGCAUGUAGCUUAAUUCGAUAUUACACGAAAAAUCUUACCAACUUUUGUCAUUUUAAUUAAAGUCAUUUUAAAUGGCUUUACAAAUUGAAACAGGUGCUGCAUGGCUGUCGUCAGCUCGUGCUGUGAAGUGUUUGGUUCAUUCCAAUAAACGGGCGCAACUCUCAUAAUUUAUAAAAUAAAUUUAUAAGUUAAACUGUUGACGAUAUGUUAAAGGAAGGUGAGAAUGACGUCAAGUCCUCAUGGCCCUUAUGAGUUGGGCUGCAUACGUGCUACAAUGGUUUAUUACAAAAAUAUUUUCAUUAUGUAAAUACUGAAAUUUUUAUAAAGUAAACCGUAGUUCAGAUUAUUCUAUGUAAAGAGAAUAUGAAGCUGGAAUCGCUAGUAAUCGCAGAAAAGAAUGCUGCGGUGAAUAAGUAACCAAGUUUUGUACACACUGCCCGUCACGCUAUGGGAAUUAAUCGUAUUGGAAAAGGAUAAAUUUCUUAGUUCAUUGUCGUUUUAAUGCAAUUAAAAUAAUGCUUAAACGACAAUGAACUAAGAAAUUUAUCCUUGAUGAUAAGAUUAAGGACUGGAGUGAAGUCGUAACAAGGUAGUCGUAGGGGAACCUGUGGCUGGAAUUGAU
rnacentral:rRNA from 1 species